rnacentral:rRNA from 1 species
CUACGGGAGGCAGCAGUGGGGAAUAUUGCACAAUGGGCGCAAGCCUGAUGCAGCCAUGCCGCGUGUAUGAAGAAGGCCUUCGGGUUGUAAAGUACUUUCAGCGGGGAGGAAGGGAGUAAAGUUAAUACCUUUGCUCAUUGACGUUACCCGCAGAAGAAGCACCGGCUAACUCCGUGCCAGCAGCCGCGGUAAUAGCGGAGGGUGCAAGCGUAAAUCGGAAUUACUGGGCGUAAAGCGCACGCAGGCGGUUUGUUAAGUCAGAUGUGAAAUCCCCGGGCUCAACCUGGGAACUGCAUCUGAUACUGGCAAGCUUGAGUCUCGUAGAGGGGGGUAGAAUUCCAGGUGUAGCGGUGAAAUGCGUAGAGAUCUGGAGGAAUACCGGUGGCGAAGGCGGCCCCCUGGACGAAGACUGACGCUCAGGUGCGAAAGCGUGGGGAGCAAACAGGAUUAGAUACCCCGGUAGUC